rnacentral:rRNA from 1 species
AACGUAGGGGGCGAGCGUUAUCCGGAAUUAUUGGGCGUAAAGAGCACGUAGGUGGCGUUAAAAGUUGGGCGUGAAAGCUCUCGGCUUAACUGAGAGAGGUCGUUCAAAACUAUAAUGCUUGAGGUUGAUAGAGGAGAGUAGAAUUCCCGGUGUAGUGGUGGAAUGCGUAGAUAUCGGGAGGAAUACCAGUGGCGAAAGCGGCUCUCUGGAUCACACCUGACACUGAGGUGCGAAAGCGUGGGUAGCAAACAGG